rnacentral:pre_miRNA from 1 species
AGGGGCAGGCCAGAUCCUGGGCUAUGCCCCCAGCGCCCUGUGCUCCCAGUCUGAGCUGUUGGAUUCGCACUUGGGACCGCGCAGCCUCCU